CAGUCGCCACGGUAAUACGAAGGGUGCAAGCGUUAAUCGGAAUUACUGGGCGUAAAGCGUGCGUAGGCGGUGAGUUAAGUCUGCUGUGAAAUCCCCGGGCUCAACCUGGGAAUGGCAGUGGAUACUGGCUCGCUAGAGUGUGUCAGAGGAUGGUGGAAUUCCCGGUGUAGCGGUGAAAUGCGUAGAGAUCGGGAGGAACAUCAGUGGCGAAGGCGGCCAUCUGGAACAACACUGACGCUGAGGCACGAAAGCGUGGGGAGCAAACAGGAUUAGAUACCCCCGUAGUCCCUGUCUCUUAUAC
rnacentral:rRNA from 1 species